rnacentral:rRNA from 1 species
GACAGAGGGUGCAAACGUUGUUCGGAAUUACUGGGCGUAAAGCGCGUGUAGGCUGCUCGGAAAGUCGGAUGUGAAAGCCCUGGGCUCAACCCAGGAAGUGCACUCGAUACUCCCGAGCUCGAGUCCCGGAGAGGAAGGCGGAAUUCUCGGUGUAGAGGUGAAAUUCGUAGAUAUCGAGAGGAACACCUGUGGCGAAGGCGGCCUUCUGGACGGUGACUGACGCUGAGACGCGAAAGCGUGGGGAGCAAACAGGAUUAGAAACCCCUGUAGUCC